rnacentral:tRNA from 1 species
GGGGGUAUAGCUCAGUGGUAGAGUGCAUGCUUAGCAUGCACAAGGUUUUGGUUCAAUCCCCAGUAUCUCUA